rnacentral:rRNA from 1 species
GUGGGGAAUAUUGGACAAUGGGCGCAAGCCUGAUCCAGCCAUGCCGCGUGAGUGAUGAAGGCCCUAGGGUUGUAAAGCUCUUUCGCCAGGGACGAUAAUGACGGUACCUGGAUAAGAAGCCCCGGCUAACUUCGUGCCAGCAGCCGCGGUAAUACGAAGGGGGCUAGCGUUGUUCGGAAUCACUGGGCGUAAAGCGCACGUAGGCGGAUCUUUAAGUCAGGGGUGAAAUCCCGAGGCUCAACCUCGGAACUGCCUUUGAUACUGGGGAUCUCGAGUCCGGGAGAGGUGAGUGGAACUGCGAGUGUAGAGGUGAAAUUCGUAGAUAUUCGCAAGAACACCAGUGGCGAAGGCGGCUCACUGGCCCGGUACUGACGCUGAGGUGCGAAAGCGUGGGGAGCAAACAGGAUUAGAAACCCGAGUAGUCC